CUAGAAAUAGACAUGUAUAAUACACCCCAAUAAUAUCUUAUAUAGUAUACAAAUAUCAAGAUUCACAACAAAAAAACUUACAUGUCCUUGGAGGAUCCUUACAUGUAGUAUUCUACCUCAAGUUGCGAGCAUUCAGUAGUAGUUCUGUAAAGACUUAAGUAUUUUUUAUCCCAUUAUAAGAAACAGGUGAAAUCUAGCCUAUUGUUUAGGCCUUGUGGGGUUAAGGUCUUCAAUUUGUGAAUCCAAAAAGCCUCCCUGCAGAGGAGUAACUUCUUGAUGUCAGUGUCAAUUGAAGUCUGUAGUUUUUCUAGGGCAAGGGCUUUGAGAAGUAAGGCAACUUUCAAGCAAUGAGGCCCUUCUGUUUUAUUAUAAUUUUUUCAAUGCUCAUGGCUUCAUCAGGAUUUUCUACCAAUAUUCACAGGGCUAAGGACUGUAAGGUGGCUAAUGGCAUAUGCAGGCUUUCAACGUGCCUGCAUUAUCCUUGGGAACGCAUUGGAAAAUGUGGAGACAAAAGGGUUUGCUGCAUAAGGAAAACCACAGAGAAGCCAUAUCAUAAGGCUCCUUAGGACAUAUCAGAAUAAAUCAUGCUUUCAACACUGCUCUAAUGUGACUAAGUAGCAAGCCUGCACACCUGCUUCUGAAGAAAAAAGCGACCAAUGGGAGAAGAUGUGAACAAUGAUCUUGCUUUGUGUUUUUAAUAAAUGCUUUUAUUUGCUGGCCUUGAAAGGAACAGUAAGAUGAAUAAAGAAUAAUCAGCUCUGGCA